UGUAACGGGGCUAAACCAUGCACCGAAGCUGCGGCAGCGACGUUUAUGCGUUGUUGGGUAGGGGAGCGUUCUGUAAGCCUGCGAAGGUGGCCUGUGAGGGUUGCUGGAGGUAUCAGAAGUGCGAAUGCUGACAUAAGUAACGAUAAAGCGGGUGAAAAGCCCGCUCGCCGGAAGACCAAGGGUUCCUGUCCAACGUUAAUCGGGGCAGGGUGAGUCGACCCCUAAGGCGAGGCCGAAAGGCGUAGUCGAUGGGAAACGGGUUAAUAUUCCCGUACUUGGUGUUACUGCGAAGGGGGGACGGAGAAGGCUAUGUUGGCCGGGCGACGGUUGUCCCGGUUUAAGCGUGUAGGCUGGUUUUCCAGGCAAAUCCGGAAAAUCAAGGCUGAGGCGUGACGACGAGGCACUACGGUGCUGAAGCAACAAAUGCCCUGCUUCCAGGAAAAGCCUCUAAGCAUCAGGUAACAUCAAAUCGUACCCCAAACCGACACAGGUGGUCAGGUAGAGAAUACCAAGGCGCUUGAGAGAACUCGGGUGAAGGAACUAGGCAAAAUGGUGCCGUAACUUCGGGAGAAGGCACGCUGACAC
rnacentral:rRNA from 1 species